ACGUUAUUUACGUUGCUAAAAUUUUGAUUUGACACUAAAUGACUGAACAGAUAUGACAACAGCAGCUCGUCCAACAUUUGAACCAGCCAGAGGUGGUAGAGGAAAAAAUGAAGGUGAUCUCAGUGCCCUCUCCAAACAGUAUUCAAGUCGAGAUUUACCAGCUCACACCAAAAUCAAAUAUAGACAGGAAGGACAGGGAACAACAGAGGAACUUAGAGGUCGUGAUUUCAGAAGGGAUUUAGACGAGAGGGAAAGAACUGUCAGAGAAAAACGAGAUAGAAACAGGGAAUCAGGAAGCAGUAAGAGGCCUCGUCUAGAUCAGGUUCCAGCUGCUAACUUGGAUGCAGAUGACCCAGUUGAUGAGGAGGAUGAAGAUGAGUCAUCGGAUGAUGAAGACGACACAGCUGAGUUAAUGGCAGAACUACAGAAAAUCAAGAAGGAACGAGCCAAUGAGAAAGCAAGAAUGGAUGCAGAGAAGAAGGCAGAGGAGGAGAGAAUUAGAACAGAGAACAUUCUGAAGGGGAAUCCCCUACUAAACCAACAGGAGAAAAAUGCCACAGACUUCAAAGUCAAGAGAAGGUGGGAUGAUGACGUUGUGUUUAAGAACUGUGCUAAAGGAGAAGACGAUAAGAAAAAGAGUGCAUUCAUUAAUGACACCUUGAGGUCAGAAUUCCACAAAAAAUUCAUGGAGAAAUAUGUGAAAUAAAUCUAGUCUCACUGGGAAUAAGUAGACUAAAAAACCUAAGUAAAAUUAAGGGGAACAGCUGAUUAGUUACAAGGAAGGCGAGGUCCUCUUUGAUUGGUUAGCAAAUGUUGUGUGUGUCAAAACAGAGUAAAGGGGAACCUGAUGACUUGGAUCACAUCCCAUUGGCUAAAUGAAAACAAAAUCUUAUAAUGCAUGCUGCUAAAAGCUGGCCUCUUUCUCAUGUUUUACUGUAUCAAUAUGAAAUGUACAGACUUAUUGUAGAACAUGUAUGCUAUGAAAGUAGCAAAUAAUUUUUAGGGUCCAGGCAAUUCUUUCAGGUAUACUGUGUACAAGCAAUACUGUUUACCUAGUACAAGCAAUAUUAAGGAAAAUUACCAUUUUAAUUCUGUACUAUCAAAACUUAUAUUACAUGUAGUACUAUUACAAGUGUAAUAUGUUACAAAUUUUCUGAAGUAAAAGUCAUUCAAUUCUUUUGGGAAACAAAAAAAGACGUUUUCAGUUUUACUUUGUAAAUCAGUAGCCAUUUAUAAUAGCAACAUUGGUAGAGAAUUAGUGAUGUAUAUGUAUCUUUCCUCUUUAAAAUGUUUAUCACCUUUAAGGCAAUUUUUAAAAUAUGGCUAGAAUAUUUAAAAUAUGGCUAGAAAUAUUUACAGUGUGUGUCAAAAAGAGCAUAAGAUUUAUUUUUAGCUAUUCCAAAAAGUAUUUGAUAUUUCCCACAUAUUUUGAAAUUUGGAAUUGAUAUGUAAAGUUUUAU